UUCCAUAACUCCUGCUUCAAUUGGCACAGGUAGAAAACUCUGCAGGAAUCACAAAGAUAAUGAAAUACAGAGGAUCAUCACGAAAUAGUGACUGAGCUAUGUUCAGGCUUAUUGAUUGCAACAGAGCAGUGGUGGAAGACAAUGCUGGUGUGCAGUSAGAAAGCAGCCUUGUGCAGAAAGCCAGCUCCACAGUGGAGAUUGCCAAAGAACAAAUUGCUGUCACAGAAUACCCCUACCGUGUCCCAUAAACCAAACAGCACCUGUUCCAUUUUCCAGGGGAUUGGGAGCAGAUGAUCUUCAAGGUCCUUUUCAAGAAAAGCCAUUCUAUGAAUCUAUAUUUUACAGCAGUAAAAUUGAAGAUGCAGACUGAAGUUGAGAAUAAGCAGAGUAAUAGUAACCCAACUCAUUAUAUUUUCUUUUUCAUAAUAGAAUUCAAAGUGAUACCUCUUAAGAUUAAACUUUCCUGAUAUCUGGAGGCAUUUGCUUUGCAUAAGCUGUUUUUUGUAGGGAACUAAAAAUCUAAUUUUCAGUCUUUUUUCAGAAGACAACUUUAUUUACAGUCCAAAUUGCAUCCUUGAUUGAUAGAAUUUCUUGAAAAAUAUGCUAUUUUCAUACAUCUAUACUUACUGGAAAUAUUCUAGAGCUGAAAAAAAUUACCAUUUUUCAAAAGAAGAGAGACAAAUUAGGAUAGGGUAAGUAAUUUUUCAGCCAUCUGUCUUCUCAAAACACACUACCAGCAUUCAUGCCUUGAGUUGAACCUCACAGCAUCAUAUCUUCUAAAGGGGGAAAAUAAGAAAGCAUGGACAAAAUGGGUAGCAACAUUUGGGAAGUGAGUGUUGUCUUAUUCUGAAUCUAUAUGUUACUAUAAGUAUAAAUAAUUUAGGUUUCCUCUGAAGACCUGCUAAAGUGCAAACUCCUUUGGCACUGCCUUGUUGCUUUUAUGGCUCCAGGGUAAGUCUUGUGGAAAAUGCAGCAUAUAUAGCAGAAUCAGACAACUUCAUAAUGUUAGCAGGACAUUUGGACAUCAGUAUGACUUUUGAGCUGAAUCUAAUAAUUUUUUUCUAUGAACCAUCUGCUUCUAUGAAUUUUCACUGACUGUAAUUAAAGUUGGCAUUUGCAUGUAGAAAAUUCUAUCAGACUUACAGUGAAAUAGACUUAAAGACUUUCUGAUGAMGUCUGUAGGAUUUACUAGUGAUUUUUUUUUAUUUCUACUGACUUUGUGAACUAUCUUGAGGAAUGGCAUUUUUGUGAUACAGAAUUUGUGAAUAGCUUAAUACAAGGGAAUAAAAAUGUAAAGUAUUCUAAAGGUUUUUUGGGUAUUUCUUUUAGCAUCAGAGACAGAAUCUUCCUAAGACCUGAGUUAGAGUGGAGGCAAUUCGAGAUAAACCACUCUUGAAUUGCAGCAUCUUAUGGAAAUGUUAGGAAAAUUUGUUUCUUCUUAACACAUUUUGGAGAUCUCAAAAAAUUCCUUCUUUUUCUAAUUUUCCUCAUCUGGCCUCUUGUCCUCAGACUCCCUCCUUUCCUGUCAUGUWAUUGAGAGAGAUUCAAGUGUUUAAUGGCAGCUAUUGAUGUGACUUAGGAGAGGCUUGGAGCAAGGUGGAGGUACUGAGGGUGCUGCCAGCCUUCCUGGGGCAUGGAUUUAAGAGCCAGUGGUACCCUGUGCACCAUUAGAAGUACUGGCACUUGUCUUUAUGGAAGAGCACUYAGCAAUUUAAUGUGUUCUCUAUAGAGUCUGGAAAGUACACUAGUCAGACAUUAUUUUCCCUUUGUCUGCCUGGGUUGGGCUUUUCCCUCCCUUUGGGGUCCAGGAAAAAGAAAAAAGAGCCUGCAGAAAACCCUAAAUCCUUCUGUUGCAUCUUUUCGUAGCAUUCAUGACUUCUUGCUGUUGUAUUUAAGUUUUAAUGCGCUUA